ACAACUUUUGCGCAAAAUAAGGAAAACCAUAGACCGUCAUAGGAGAUUGAUUCCACUGAGCAGAAGGAAACAGACAGUAUUGAAGGAAACGGAGCUAGAGUCUACUCCGUUCCCCUCAUCCUCCGCAGGCAGAGACUCCCCUUUCAGGAGGUCAGAUAGAUCAAGGGAGUCAUUCAGGCCAUACUGGAGACACCAUGGCACCUUCUCCUCCAGCAGGAACUCGUUCUUGCCGCUGAAGCACAG